rnacentral:rRNA from 1 species
UACGUAGGGUGCAAGCGUUUGUCCGGAAUUAUUGGGCGUAAAGAGCUCGUAGGCGGCUUGUCGCGUCGGCUGUGAAAACCUGGGGCUCAACCCCGGGCCUGCAGCCGAUACGGGCAAGCUAGAAUUCGGUAGGGGAGACUGGAAUUCCUGGUGUAGCGGUGAAAUGCGCAGAUAUCAGGAGGAACACCGGUGGCGAAGGCGGUUCUCUGGGCCUGUACUGACGCUGAGGAACGAAAGCGUGGGGAGCGAACAGG